AAACGACUCUCGGCAACGGAUAUCUCGGUUCUCGCAUCGAUGAAGAACGUAGCAUAAUGCGAUACUUGGUGUGAAUUGCAGAAUCCCGUGAACCAUCGAGUCUUUGAACGCAAGUUGCGCCCCAAGCCGUUAGGCCGAGGGCACGCCUGCCUGGGUGUCACGC
rnacentral:rRNA from 1 species